AGGAUGAACGCUGGCGGCGUGCUUAACACAUGCAAGUCAAGGGGGCCCAGCAAUGGGUAACCGGCGAACGGGUGCGUAACACGUGAGCAACCUACCGAAUUGUGGGGGAUAGCCGGCCCAACGGCCGGGUAAUACCGCAUACGCUCGAGACGAGGCAUUUCGACUCGAGGAAACCUACGGGACAUUUCGAGGGGCUCGCGGCCUAUCAGCUAGUUGGUGAGGUAACGGCUCACCAAGGCGACGACGGUAGCUGGUCUGAGAGGAUGGCCAGCCACAUUGGGACUGAGAUACGGCCCAGACUCCUACGGGAGGCAGCAGUGGGGAAUCUUGCGCAAUGGCCUAACGGCUGACGCAGCGACGCCGCGUGAGGGAUGACGCUCUUCGGAGUGUAAACCUCUUUUGCCUGGACGAAUUGUCAGCUAUUGCUUGACUUGGACGGUACCGGGUGAACGUAAGCCUACCGGCUAACCGUCCGCGCCCAGCCAGCCGACGGUAAUCGUAGAGACCGGGCUA
rnacentral:rRNA from 1 species